ACCACCCUGACCCCACUCUAUACAGGGGAAACUCACCACCCUCACCCCACUCUAUACAGGGGAAACUCACCACCCUCAACCCACUCUAUACAGGGGAAACUCACCACCCUAACCCCACUCUAUACAGGGGAAACUCACCACCCUAAACCCACUCUAUACAGGGGAAACUCACCACCCUCACCUCACUCUAUACAGGGGAAACUCACCACCCUCAACCCACUCUAUACAGGGGAAGCCCACCACCCUCAACCCACUCUAUACAGGGGAAACUCACCACCCUCACCCCACUCUAUACAGGGGAAACUCACCACCCUCAACCCACUCUAUACAGGGGAAACUCACCACCCUCACCCCACUCUAUACAGGGGAAACCCACCACCCUCAACACACUCUAUACAUGGGAAACUCACCACCCUCACCCCACUCUAUACAGGGUAAACUCCCCACCCUCAACCCACUCCAUACAGGGGAAACUCACCACCCUCACCCCACUCUAUACAGGUGAAACGCACCACCCUCAGCCCACUCUAUACAGGGGAAACUCACCACCCUCACCCCACUCUAUACACGGAAACUCACCACCCUCAACCCACUCUAUACAGGGGAAACUCACCACCCUCAACCCACUCUAUACAAGGGAAACUCACCACCCUCAACCCACUCUAUACAGGGGAAACUCACCACCCUCAACCCACUCUAUACAGGGGAAACUCACCACCCUCACCCCACUCUAUACACGGAAACUCACCACCCUCAACCCACUCUAUACAGGGGAAACUCACCACCCUCAACCCACUCUAUACAGGGGAAACUCACCACCCUCAACCCACUCUAUACAGGGGAACUCACCACCCUCACCCCACUCUAUACACGGAAACUCACCACCCUCAACCCACUCUAUACAGGGGAAACUCACCACCCUCAACCCACUCUAUACAUGGGAAACUCACCACCCUCAACCCACUCUAUACAGGGGAAACCCACCACCCUCAACCCACUCUAUACAGGGGAAACUCACCACCCUAACCCCACUCUAUAGAGGGGAAACUCACCACCCUCACCCCACUCUAUACAGAGGAAACCCACCACCCUCAACACACUCUAUACAGGGGAAACUCACCACCCUCACCCCACUCUAUACACGGAAACUCACCACCCUCAACCCACUCUAUACAGGGGAAACUCACCACCCUCAACCCACUCUAUACAGGGGAAACUCACCACCCUCAACCCACUCUAUACAGGGGAAACUCACCACCCUCAACCCACUCUAUACAGGGGAACUCACCACCCUCACCCCACUCUAUACACGGAAACUCACCACCCUCAACCCACUCUAUACAGGGGAAACUCACCACCCUCAACCCACUCUAUACAGGGGAA
rnacentral:lncRNA from 1 species